GGAUUAGAUACCCUGGUAGUCCACGCCCUAAACGAUGGAUACUAAGUGGGGGAGUACUAAGGACUUCCCUGCCGUAGGGAAACCGUUAAGUAUCCCGCCUGGGGAGUAUGGUCGCAAGGCUGAAACUCAAAGGAAUUGACGGGGGCUCACACAAGCGGUGGAGCAUGUUGCUUAAUUCGAUCAACGCGAAGAACCUUACCUGGGCUUGAACUGCUAAGGAUUAGCUUCCCGAAAAGGAAGUGACGCUUCGGUGGAACUUAGUAGAGGUGUUGCAUGGCUGUCGUCAGCUCGUGCUG
rnacentral:rRNA from 1 species